rnacentral:misc_RNA from 1 species
GUGCUCAUCACAACAAUCACUUUGAUGGUCCAAUGAACUUUGUGCAAAGAACUGAGGAGGUUGAUUACUAUCCCUCGAGGCAUGCUCCACUCCGACAUGCAGAGAGAUUCCCGAUUCCAAAUCGCGUCAUCACUGGCAGGCGUGAGAAGAGUAUAAUUCCGAAGCAAAAUGAUUUCAAGCAACCUGGAGAGCGAUACCGAUCAUGGGCACCCGACAGGCAGGAGCGUUUCAUCCGCCGGUGGGUUGAGGGGCUGAGUCACCCAAAGGUUAGCCACGAGCUUCGUGUCAUAUGGAUCAACUUCCUGUCUCAGUGUGAUUCGAGUCUCGGACACAGGGUUGCCAAUCUCCUCAAUUUGAAGCCAAACAUAUAAUGAGAAGUCCUCUGAUUUGAAGAUGGGAAGUCUGGAUAUUCUAAUGUAAAUUAGCUUGUGUGUUUCUUGGAGUUCUGCACUAUAUAAUGCGAGUGUGUAAUAAAUGGCUUACUACCUCCGACACUAUGUGAGUGUUAAGUCGAUCCAAACGGAGUUAUGCCAUAAAGAACAAUAGAAGUUAUCUGCCGGUGUCCUUUAUUUACUCAAUUUGGGAAUGCAUUAUGAGA